rnacentral:rRNA from 1 species
UACAGAGGUGGCAAGCGUUGUUCGGAAUUACUGGGCGUAAAGGGCGCGUAGGCGGUUCGUUAAGUCCUGUGUGAAAUCCCCCGGCUCAACUGGGGAACUGCACAGGAAACUAGCGGGCUUGAGUUCGGGAGAGGGAAGCGGAAUUCCGGGUGUAGCGGUGAAAUGCGUAGAUAUCUGGAGGAACACCGGUGGCGAAGGCGGCAUCCUGGACCAAUAUUGACGCUGAGGAGCGAAAGCCAGGGGAGCAAACAGG